AAAAUCAUAAACCCUAAAAGUUAAAAUUAGUUCGCUUUCCUCAUUCUUCUUCAGUCUUAUCUCUGUGCGGCGUGGCCUUCCUCAAUCCUCAUUCCUCUUCAAUUCAAUCUACCUGAUCUUCAAUUCAAUCUAACUGAUCUUCAAUUCAAUCUACCUGAUCUUCCAGCACUUUGCCCGGAAUGGCAGCACUUCAAGUUACCUUGACAACAGUAUGUUGCAAGAAUGACAAAGAUUAUGCCCAGUACGUGCUUCCUAGAACUUCAUUUUUGCCUAGAUUUGACAUGCUGGGGAAUUCAGUCGGUGCUUACAGUAAAGAGUUUCAUCCUAGCGCCUUGAGUUCAGGUGUUCAGGCCACUUUGACCUUUGAUCCACCAACCUCUAAUACUAAUAAAACUAAACAAACGAAGCAUACAGUUGACCCUUCCUCCCCCGACUUCCUUCCUCUUCCAUCAUUUGAACAAUGUUUUCCAAAGAGCACAAAAGAAUACAGGGAAGCUGUUCAUGAGGAAUCAGGCCAUGUGCUCAAGGUUCCCUUUCGCCGCAUUCAUCUAUCUGGGGAUGAACCCCAUUUCGACACUUAUGAUACCAGUGGCCCCCAGAAUAUUAGUCCACAAAUUGGACUACCUAAACUGCGCAAGGAUUGGGUUGACAGGAGAGAAAAGUUGGGGCUACCACGAUACACCCAGAUGUUUUAUGCUAAGCAGGGAAUGAUAACUGAAGAGAUGCUGUUCUGUGCUGCUCGUGAGAACCUUGAUCCUGAAUUCGUGAGGUCAGAGGUUGCUCGUGGACGUGCAAUUAUCCCUUCCAACAAGAAGCAUUUAGAGCUGGAGCCUAUGAUAGUUGGAAGAAAUUUUCUGGUUAAAGUUAAUGCAAACAUUGGAAAUUCUGCUGUUGUUAGUUCAAUUGAAGAGGAAGUUCACAAACUUCAAUGGGCAACUAUGUGGGGCGCAGACACUAUCAUGGAUUUGUCUACAGGUCGACAUAUUCAUGAAACCCGUGAGUGGAUCCUACGUAACUCUGCUGUACCAGUUGGUACAGUUCCUAUUUAUCAAGCACUUGAAAAGGUGAAUGGUAUUGCCGAGGAUCUCACCUGGGAGAUUUUUAAGGAUACCUUGAUUGAACAAGCAGAGCAAGGUGUGGAUUACUUCACUAUACAUGCUGGAGUUCUCCUAAGAUAUAUCCCUCUAACAGCCAAGCGCAUGACUGGCAUUGUAUCUCGUGGAGGAUCCAUACAUGCAAAGUGGUGUUUAGCCUACCAUAAGGAGAAUUUUGCUUAUGAGCACUGGGAUGAUAUUCUUGAUAUCUGCAACCAAUAUGAUAUAGCACUAUCAAUAGGCGAUGGCCUCAGGCCUGGGUCAAUCUAUGACGCCAAUGACACUGCUCAGUUUGCCGAGCUCUUAACUCAAGGAGAACUUACACAACGAGCCUGGAAUAAAGAUGUGCAGGUGAUGAAUGAAGGGCCAGGACACAUUCCAAUGCACAAGAUUCCUGAAAAUAUGCAGAAGCAGCUGGAGUGGUGUCAGGAGGCGCCAUUUUACACACUAGGUCCAUUAACAACUGAUAUUGCCCCUGGUUAUGAUCACAUAACCUCUGCUAUUGGUGCUGCCAAUAUUGGAUCCCUUGGCACUGCACUUUUAUGCUAUGUGACUCCCAAAGAACAUCUUGGUUUGCCAAAUAGGGAUGACGUGAAAGCAGGGGUUAUAGCGUACAAAAUAGCUGCUCAUGCUGCUGAUCUAGCUAAAUGCCAUCCGUUUGCCCAAGCAAGGGAUGAUGCGUUGAGCAAAGCAAGAUUUGAGUUCCGAUGGAUGGACCAGUUUGCCCUUUCACUUGACCCAAUGACCGCCAUGUCUUUCCAUGAUGAAACCUUGCCAUCAGAGGGUGCUAAGGUAGCACAUUUUUGCUCGAUGUGUGGACCCAAAUUCUGCUCGAUGAAGAUUACUGAGGACGUACGCAAGUAUGCUGAGGAGCAUGGUUAUGGUAAUGCUGAAGAAGCUGUACAACAAGGGAUGGAGGCUAUGAGCGCUCAGUUUCUGGCUGCAAAGAAAACUAUCAGUGGAGAACAACAUGGUGAAGCUGGGGGAGAAAUCUAUUUGCCUCAAAGCUACAUAGAGUCUUUGAAGAAAUAAAAAAAAAAUCAUUGCUUGCAAUUGAGACAGUGGUAUAGCUGAGCUUAGCCCUCUUUGAAGCCUUAGUGGAUGCAGAUUAAUUGCUCUGGAAUUUGACCCUGAGGUGGGGUGUCUGUCUCUGCUUUAGCAUAUUAACUGUAUUGAUGAAAGAUGCUAGCAAGACAGGCUGAGAAAGUCCCUUUGAACCUGAACAGGUUAAUGCCUGCGUAGGGAGUGUGCGCUUGUUUUCUUUUCGUGCAAACAGGGUUUAUACCUUAUCGGGGUCCUGCUUGAUCUGGAUUAGCUGGUAUGGUAUCUUGACCAAGCUCGUCUCUAUGUCAGGUGGGUGGCCACCAACAUUUAGCUUAAAUAUAUGUCACAUUUUCAGCCCUGCUUAGAGUUAGUUCAAUAAGCAAAAUUAGAUUCAUGUAGUAUUAUGCAUUUUAUUUAUCAAUUCAACCUAAUUACAUGAUUAAUUAUUAAAAUCAUGUAAUCAAUAAGCAUAUAUCUCUUCCAGGUACAUAUUUCUGUGAAAAUUAUUGAUAUCUGUUAAAGCCCACCUGGUGGACGGUGGUUACGUUACACCUUCUGUUGUAUUUUCAUUAAUACAACUUGGAAAUAUUUUUAGUUUGUAGCAUCAUAGGCUACACCGAUCCAUGCGAAUUUGAUGUUCAAACUCUCAUGUAACGAAGGUGCUGCAGAAAAAUAACUAAAUUUCAUUCCUUGCUGUGUUCUCACGUGAACCUUGCGUCUGCUGUGUCCUUAGCCUGUUACAAAGUGGCAACACUUUGUGAGUUUGUCCUUGUUAUUGAUGCUUGAGUCCUAACUGACAUACCCUUCGUAAUGCACCAUGACUUUGCUCGUCUAAAACUCUGCUUAUAUACGUGCU